AGAGUUUGAUCAUGGCUCAGGAGUGAACGCUGGCGGCAGGCCUAAUACAUGCAAGGUCGAACGGCAGCACAGCAGAGCUUGCUCUGUGGGUGGCGAGUGGCGGACGGGUGAGGAAUACGUGGGAAUCUGCCCAGUCGUGGGGGAUAACGUAGGGAAACUUACGCUAAUACCGCAUGCGCCCUUCGGGGGAAAGCCGGGGACCUUCGGGCCUGGCGCGAUUGGAUGAGCCCACGUCGGAUUAGCUAGUUGGCGGGGUAAAGGCCCACCAAGGCGACGAUCCGUAGCUGGUCUGAGAGGAUGAUCAGCCACACUGGAACUGAGACACGGUCCAGACUCCUACGGGAGGCAGCAGUAGGGAAUAUUGGACAAUGGGCGCAAGCCUGAUCCAGCCAUGCCGCGUGAGUGAAGAAGGCCCUCGGGUUGUAAAGCUCUUUUGUCCGGAAAGAAAAGCGCCGGGUUAAUACCCUGGUGUCCUGACGGUACCGGAAGAAUAAGCACCGGCUAACUUCGUG
rnacentral:rRNA from 1 species